ACAAGAGGGGUUAAAGGAGGUUUCAGUAGU
rnacentral:piRNA from 1 species